UUUUAUGAGAGCGCUGAGGGAAACUCGAUAGAAGAAAAUAACCUUAUAGUAGACGCAGGCGCGCACAGCCUUUAUGUCUAUAUUAAGGUCUCACCUGGAGCCUGGAUGACCUGAGCGAGCCAAAUGACGGCGACCAGCCCGACUCCACAGCAGCAGAACCGCUGGAAGGGCCGCCGGUGCCUCGCUGUUGCCCUCAUUCCUCAGCCGGCCGCAUAUCCACGACAAACAUCUGUUGCUCUCUUUCUGACACUUGUUUCACACUUUCUCUGCAAACAGCUUUGAACAAACCACCACCUCCAGCAGCAGAAAGCGACUUGUCUGCCAAGUUGUCAAAAAAAAAAAAAACCGCAAAGAAGACAAACCUGGUUUCUUCCCCCCUCCACCAGACAGAGCAGACGCUGUGCUGCUUCACUCCGUCAAAUGUCCGGGUCGCACAUAGCGAGUAAACGCGUAAAAAAAUCUUUCUGCGUUCAUGUGUACAGUCUGAAAGGUCGACAGCAGAUCCCACAGUGAGGUGCAGCAACAGGAGGCGACAUGCUCUGAGCUCUGCCUUCCCUCUCUCUCUCGCUCUCUCUCCCCCUCCUUGCACUGCGCUUUCCCUCUGCGUGGCCACCAGGCGGCGACAAACUCACGUGUCCCUGUUCAGAAGAAAUGGACGGACGUGGGCUGCUACACUUCCACCUUCUUCAGCUCCUGAACCCCUGUUGAUAUGCUAACAGUGUAUUCGCACCUAAGCACUCAAACAUACAGUCCAGGGGGUUGCACACAUUAAAAGCAAUGACUUCCAGUGGCUCCAACUACUUGUCCCAGAGAGCCCCAACACUGCAUCACAUUUUCCAUCUCUCCCUUCGCUGUUCACACCCAAACACACCUGAUCCAGCUAAUUAGGUGGAUAGAGCAGGUAAAGAUGACAUAUAUGCAGCACUGGUACUCAGAGAGUGCCAUUAAAUGCAUUGCAUUAUUUUAAAUAAUCUGUUUCACGUGCAAAGAGUCAGGGGGAAUCUUACAGUGGUACAAAAGCACAUUUUGUAUUGCACUUGCACAUAGUUUGGGGACUUGUUCACAGACAGGUCAAAAUCAAAGCAGGACAUGCAGAGAUAUCCUGACCUUUAGUCCUUCAUAAGGUUCAAGCUCCAAAAACAUUAAAUCCUACACUUGCCAGAAUGCAACCUGAUGGAGACUUUUCAUUAGACCCUUGAUGUUUGAUAAAUGCCUACAUCUUUCAAACCUGCACACCCCCAGUUUGUAAUGCAGACUUUGUUAAAUACCAGGACAUUUCCAAUCCCAAACUGACCAAACCCGGAUGACAUCACUAUGACAUCAUCUGGGGUUUUUUCCCCCCUUCUUUUAUUUUAUAUUUGACAUCCUGCUUUGUUUACCAUAGACAGUAAAGUUAAUGGACAAAACAACUAUACGGGUUUGAAUGGAGAGCAGUGAAACCUACAUCGUGCACACCAUAUUCAUUACGUUUGGAAUAAAAGUUUCAUGAUUAUCAAAGGUUUUGGUCAAAUCUAAAAAGACACCUAGCACAAUUUCUUAAUCAUCUAAAGCAGAAAUAUUGUUGACAAGCUGCAGUUCAGUGUUUCUUCCGAAAUCCAUAUCGGUGGUUAUAAAGGAUGUUGUUCUCAAAUAAAUUUAAAAUCCUGUGGGAUAACACCAUGUUGAAAAGAAACUAAACAUAUGAGAGAAUCAAAAAUAUGAUUAAUCAUUUCCUUAAUGAAACUGCUUCUAAUACUACCACGUCCUUCAGCAGAAUGUAUUUUAUUCAUAAUUAUACCACGCACUUCUUUGGCACUGGGUGUCUCAAAACUGCAGAGUGAAGGAAACUGACCUUUAAUUAAACUGGGCUCACAUCAGAGUUUAUGUUUGAUGCCAGUAAGAAGCCACCAUUUAAUUAAAACCAUCAGCUAUGUCUCUUGAGAUAAGAAGAGCACCGUGCCUUACACCUCUGCAUGUCGCCACUUGCCUUCCUGCAGCCACACAGCCCCUAUGCAUUACUCUCUCUAUCAUGUCUCUCACGCCAUGCUCUUUCCUUCAGCUCCCCAGACCUGCCAUCCUCAAGCUGUCUGCCAGAUGCCCCCGGACUUCCCCUCCCUUCCCCAUCACUGCCACACCCACCUGUUCCCACUUCUCCCAUCAACCCUACUCCUCCCACUCCUCACCUGCAACUCAUUCUCUCACCAGCAACUCACCAUAUAUACCAGUUCACUUCCUUUGUUCCUUGCCUGUUCAUUGUCACUGCUUUGUUGUGUUUGCGUUCUAAUGUCUGUUACCUGGACAUUUUCCUACCUGCCUGUUAUCUGUUUGUUGCCUGCCUGUACCUGCCUGUAAGCUCAUUUAUGCACAAUAAAUCAUUGAGCUGCACCUUC